CGGCGCGCGCCGAUUGGCCGGCGCGGGCCGGCAGAAUCUUCGGAGCGGCGGCGGCGACUGUUGCUAAGGGAGGUGACGCGCCGAGAAACGCGGCCCGACCGGCAGACGG